rnacentral:rRNA from 1 species
UGACGGUACCUGCAGAAGAAGCGCCGGCUAACUACGUGCCAGCAGCCGCGGCAAUACGUAGGGCGCAAGCGUUGUCCGGAAUUAUUGGGCGUAAAGAGCUCGUAGGCGGUUUGCCGCGUCUGCCGUGAAAGUCCGGGGCUUAACUCCGGAUCUGCGGUGGGUACGGGCAGGCUAGAGUGCGGUAGGGGUGACUGGAAUUCCUGGUGUAGCGGUGGAAUGCGCAGAUAUCAGGAGGAACACCGAUGGCGAAGGCAGGUCACUGGGCCGCAACUGACGCUGAGGAGCGAAAGCAUGGGGAGCGAACAGGAUUAGAUACCCUGGUAGUCCAUGCCGUAAACGUUGGGCACUAGGUGUGGGGGACAUUCCACGUUUUCCGCGCCGUAGCUAACGCAUUAAGUGCCCCGCCUGGGGAGUACGGCCGCAAGGCUAAAACUCAAAGGAAUUGACGGGGGCCCGCACAAGCGGCGGAGCAUGCGGAUUAAUUCGAUGCAACGCGAAGAACCUUACCAAGGCUUGACAUACACCGGAAACUCUUAGAGAUAAGAGCCUCUUCGGACUGGUGUACAGGUGGUGCAUGGUUGUCGUCAGCUCGUGUCGUGAGAUGUUGGGUUAAGUCCCGCAACGAGCGCAACCCUCAUCCUAUGUUGCCAGCACGUUAUGGUGGGGACUCAUGGGAGACUGCCGGGGUCAACUCGGAGGAAGGUGGGGAUGACGUCAAAUCAUCAUGCCCCUUAUGUCUUGGGCUUCACGCAUGCUACAAUGGCCGGUACAAAGGGCUGCGAUCCCGUGAGGGGGAGCGAAUCCCAAAAAGCCGGUCUCAGUUCGGAUUGGGGUCUGCAACUCGACCCCAUGAAGUCGGAGUCGCUAGUAAUCGCAGAUCAGCAACGCUGCGGUGAAUACGUUCCCGGGCCUUGUACUCACAGCCCGUCAAG